CCUACGGGAGGCAGCAGUGGGGAAUAUUGCACAAUGGGCGAAAGCCUGAUGCAGCGACGCCGCGUGAGGGAUGACGGCCUUCGGGUUGUAAACCUCUUUCAGCAGGGAAGAAGCGAGAGUGACGGUACCUGCAGAAGAAGCGCCGGCUAACUACGUGCCAGCAGCCGCGGUAAUACGUAGGGCGCAAGCGUUGUCCGGAAUUAUUGGGCGUAAAGAGCUCGUAGGCGGCUUGUUGCGUCGGUUGUGAAAGCCCGGGGCUUAACCCCGGGUCUGCAGUCGAUACGGGCAGGCUAGAGUGUGGUAGGGGAGAUCGGAAUUCCUGGUGUAGCGGUGAAAUGCGCAGAUAUCAGGAGGAACACCGGUGGCGAAGGCGGAUCUCUGGGCCAUUACUGACGCUGAGGAGCGAAAGCGUGGGGAGCGAACAGGAUUAGAUACCCUGGUAGUCCUCGCCGUAAACGUUGGGAACUAGGUGUUGGCGACAUUCCACGUCGUCGGUGCCGCAGCUAACGCAUUAAGUUCCCCGCCUGGGGAGGUACGGCCGCGACGACGUAAACUUAAACGUAAGUUAGUACGGCGUGAGACGUGCCGACGGACGACGACGAGGGAGGUAGG
rnacentral:rRNA from 1 species